rnacentral:lncRNA from 10 species
CCUGUGCAGUCUAACCCUAGCCAAUAGGGGAAUGACACAGCAGCAGGAGCCACAUGUGUCAGGGAUAAGAACCUCUUCCCCUCCCUUGUCCAAGUGUGUGCUCACCAUUGCUCCAUAUGCAAGGGCACAUGCUUCUAUAGAAGUACAUUGCCUUGCGAGAAUUACAAAGAAAAUUUUAUAUUGGAGUGAUAUUUCUUUUGUGGCACCAAAACUUUAUUUAUAACAAUUUGGGGGCUCAUCCAGGAUUACAUUCCCCUCCGAGGGUGAUCUCUGGUCCUCUCUUGCAAGCAGGCUUGCUCCGCCCCCUUGUGGCAGCCUCAGGGGUGAGAAAUCAGGACCCACCCAGUGCAAGAUAUAACUUGAGCUCUCAGCAAUGCAGAAAGAAACUCCCUAGCAACCUAGCUGCAGGAAUGACUCUGUGCACAGAUCAAGAAAGGAGAAGCCACGGGAGCUGCAGCACAAAAUGGAUUAAGACAUCUCUCCUGGUACUUAUGCUUUCUUGGAGGAGGAGGUAAUAUGGGUCUGACCUUAAGAAAAUAGGACCUUCCAUUUUCUAGCUCCUGGAACACUUCCACUUAGCACCCAGCCAUCAGACUGUGUAUGAGGAGAGGAACUGAGACCUGCAGACCAAUAACCUAAGCUGAACUCGCAGCUGAAAGCUAACCCACCUCUAAUGGACUCUCCACUCAAAAUCCAGAUUAGUGAACCAAAUAUAUGACUGUUGUUUUUAAGCCACUAUGUUUUAGCAUGGUAUGUUACACACCAAUAGAUAACUAAAACUGUUCUCUCACCAUCUCAACAUCCUCUUCAUAUUUUCUAAAUAAUAAAAUAUGCCAUUUGAUUUUACAAGAAACAAAUGUUAGAUGGCAGGGCUGAAGUUAAAUGGGAACCUAAUGUUCACAACGACUAACAGAUUUGUAAAUUGAGCUUAUAUGUCUACAUCAAAGUUCUCAAUCUUUAUUUAUGCUAUAGUUUAAAGCAUGACUAUACUUUUCAGCUGACUCUCUUGAAAAGUGGAGUAUAAUUAAUAUAUUGAUACCUGGAUAUAUUAUAUUUUAGUUCAUGAUUCCAUUUAGUCCUGAAAAAUAGAAGGCAUUGUCAUUUUGUAGACAUCUCCUUGAUAUAUUUGUGUUAGAGUUAACUCAAUUUUUUAAAUGUAAGAUUUAACUCUAUGACACUAAUCACCUGUCAUCAGUCACUGACUAUAGUUCAAUAUCAUUUGAGUCACCAAGGCUAAGAUAUACCAGAUAACUGUUUCAGUACAGGUGAUUUGCAUUUAUCAUCUAAGAGCUUAUAAGAACCUCCUCUCACUAAAAUAUCAGAGGUCUAACUUUUACCCCCUUCCUCACAUCAAAAGCAUAAAACGCUGAGAUAUAUAAAGAGGAGAUUUCAGGGAGUUUGAGAACUUACUCAAAUGAUGUAACUCAUUUGACAAAUGACUUGCUUCAUGCAUCUUUUAGAUAGCUAAGUCCAAUUAGCUAAAAUUAUAGUUGAAUUGAAUAUGUAAAUAUCUAUAAAGUUGGCCUAAUUAGAUCCAUAGGGUGGUGUAGCAUCUGUGUUUAAAGCCCAGCAAUUGUGAAGAGGUUUUGGUUGCAAGCUUAGGGGAGGCUGUGAAGACUGGCAAGUCUAAGUCCUCCCGUGGAAUCUGAGAUUUCACAGGUAGUAUCUGAGGAUGGGUGUGAGAUUACUGCUCAAGCCAGAAAGAUUAACAGCUGCCUCAAUGGGAAUAAGAGUCACUAGGAAAUUUGAUUCUAUCAUUCCUGAAUCCAAGGUGGCGUUAACAAGCUUAUUAUGUAAGAAAGCAGCCUCUGUUACUAAUCUAAGCUGUAUCUGUUUUUCUGCUUACGCCUAUGAACCAGAACAUAAGAAGUAGUAGAACAAAUGAUAUGAAUCUACAAAUUAUGCCACGUAUUUUAAUUCUUCACUAUUUAAAUAAUUAAAAACUAAGUUUUCUUCUAAAUGUGUCACAUAGUAUAGAUUUUCUAGGGUGCACUUAAGAAAUUUGGUGUACUCAAGAUGAUCAACCUGUCUCAAAAUAAACUUAGAUUUUUUGAAGACUCUUCUGUUAAAUUGGACUUUGACCAUCACUGACACUUAUUUUGACCUUAUAAUACCAUAAAUAUGUACCCUUGAUCAAGACUCCAGCUGAUAGACCCUUAGCAUAGAUACAUAAAAAUAAUAAACCUUAUCUGAACAUCUGUUUUAAGUCAGCUUUUGCUGUGGAAGCUGUUACAAUUACAAAUUAUUUCCAUUUGAUUUCACUGAAAUUCAAUUAACUUCGAGCAAAAAUUAGCAACACUAAUUUUUAAAUAAGGAUGGGGUGAAGGUGAUAGUUAUUGUGGAGCAUUGAUAUGAUAGAAGCAGUGAGGGUAGAAAAUGUGUGAACGUUAAAUGCCUUUAUUACUCAUUUUACAUUUCAUCAGGUAUCAGAUGGCAUGAAAAUACGCUGUCUUGGUCUAUUUUCUUGCUACCACCCCUAAGAUAUCACAUACUUGGCUGUUUCUUAUUCUAAAACCACAGUCCCUUGGGGGCUAGCUAUUAUUUUAAUGAUCAGAGUGAUGAUGAGUCUCUGAAUACCUUAAGGUUUGUAUACUAAGGAUUAUCUCAAUUUAGCUAACAUAAGCUCUAUGAAUGUGUUGCAUAUAAAAUCAUUUUAUCUAAGGCCACAUAUUCUCAAAAGACAUAUUAUGUUGUAUUUUACACCUGAUGCAUUUACAGUUACCACUAACAAGCAAGAAAAAAAUCUCCUCUACAGAGUUUGAAGUAUAUAUUUUUAAAUUAUUGUUGCUUCUAAAAAUACAAAAAUAGAUUUGGAGGUUGAUAUUUUUGGCAGGGGCUCUGAAUAUUUUCAUGUGGAAGUCAGCAACCUAAUAAGCCUGACUUACUGAGUGGAUCAGUGGGUUGUAAUUCUGGUAACUUAUUUUUUAACUAGCUUGAGGCUAGGUCUAUCUCAAUUAUGCUUCAGGUUGUAUAAUAGAUUAUAUGGCAUAUUCAAUAAAGUUGAUAUUGUAUUAAACACAGUAGAGACAAUUAAUGAAUAUUUUUUUCUCGUGAGUUGAUAUUUUAAAAAGAGUUAAUUAUGUAGAAUUUUUUGAAAGGCUUUAUUCAAUAGGACUCAAUACCGGUCUGAUCAUCAUCCUACGAUAAUGGGAUAUGGGUCACAGCAGGGAGAAAAUCAAUAGUGCUGAUGGGCUAUUUUAUUUAAAUCUCAAGCAGUUUUCUCUUCAUAAUAAGAAGAUGUUUUCCAAUUAAAUUGUAAAUUUGAACUAAUAUAUUGUUUUAUAUAAGAUACUUUAUAACUUA